ensembl:lncRNA
GCAUAGCACAGCAAAAGAGAGCAAAGCAAAAGAAGGCAAAGAAUGACAAAAAGCAACCUUGCAGGAAUGGAGGAAUCUGCCAGAGCUGUGCCCCUGCUUGCCACAGGAGCUGCGCGGGAGGAGAAGAACGUGGGCCAAAAGGAAUGGAGGAAUCUGUCCAGAGCUGUGCCCCUGCUUGCCACAGGAGCUGCGCGGAGGAGAAGAACGUGGGCCAAAAGGAAUGGAGGAAUCUGUCCAGAGCUGUGCCCCUGCUUGCCACAGGAGCUGCGCGGGAGGAGAAGAACGUGGGCCAAAAGGAAUGGAGGAAUCUGUCCAGAGCUGUGCCCCUGCUUGGCCACAGGAGCUGCGCGGGAGGAGAAGAACGUGGGCCAAAAGGUAAGAGGAGCUCCUUUGGGUUCUGGGCUUGAAGCAAAGCUGAGAAGCCAUGCCCGGGAGGAGGUGUGGGUAGCUACAGGCCACCUUGCUAUCUCCCCAAGAGAUGAGGUGUGGGCUAGGCACCGGGCAGGAGUGCUGGCCAGAAGCAAGCAUCUCUGUGGAGGAAGGCAAAGGGCGGAGGAGGUUCAAGGGUAGCUACCGGGCAUGGCCUUGCUCAGCAAGGGGAGGAAAAGCCUGAAGGGCACGAGAAGGGGAUAGAGAAGGGCAGGCAGUAGGCGUGAAGCUGCGAGCAGAGUAGAGAGCAACUUGGCAGAGCAGCAAGCAGAGUAGGCAAGUGUUGAGGUUUGGCGUGAGUAGCAGCAGCAAAAGCCCAGAGCAUCAAGAAGCAGGAAGUGAGGAGAAGGUAAGUGAAGGGCAGGCAAGGUAAUGGGAGGCAAAGGCAAG